UCUGUGGGGCAGCCUAUGGGUCCCUGGGUCCCGGUAGCGGCUCUAUGGGGCAGGCUAUGGGGUCUAUGGGUCCCAGUCCGGGUUCUAUGGGGCAGGCUGUGGGUCCGUAGGUCCCAGUAUCAGAUCUAUGGGUCCCAGUCCGGGCUCUAUGGGGCAGGCUGUGGGUCUCCGGGCCCCGGUAGAGGCUCCAUUGGGCAGGCUGUGGGGUCUGUGGGUCCCGGUCCGGGCUCUAUGGGGCAGGCUGUGGGUCCGUGGGUCCCGGUAUCAGAUCUAUGGGUCCCAGUAGCGGCUCUAUGGGGCAGGCUGUGGGUCUAUGGGGCAGGCUGUGGGUCUGUGGGUCCCGGUAGCAGCUCUAUGGGGCAGGCUGUGGGUCUAUGGGGC
rnacentral:lncRNA from 1 species